rnacentral:rRNA from 1 species
UACGGGGGGUGCGAGCGUUGUCCGGAAUCACUGGGCGUAAAGGGCGCGUAGGUGGUCUGAUAAGGGUGUGGUGAAAGCCCGGGGCUCAACCCCGGGUCGGCCGUGCCGACUGUUAGACUAGAGUACUGUAGGGGCAGGCGGAAUUCCGGGUGUAGCGGUGGAAUGCGUAGAGAUCCGGAAGAACACCGGUGGCGAAGGCGGUCUGCUGGGCAGUAGCUGACACUGAGGCGCGACAGCGUGGGGAGCAAACAGG